GGAAAACGCUGGCGGCGUGCCUAAUACAUGCAUGCGAGCGCGGGAAGCGAGCUGAUCCCUUCGGGGUGACGCUCGUGGAACGAGCGGCGGACGGGUGAGUAACACGUGGGCAACCUGCCUGUAAGAUCGGGAUAACUCCGGGAAACCGGGGCUAAUACCGGGUAAUACUUUCUUUCGCAUGAAGGAAAGUUGAAAGAUGGCUUCUCGCUAUCACUUACAGAUGGGCCCGCGGCGCAUUAGCUAGUUGGUGAGGUAACGGCUCACCAAGGCGACGAUGCGUAGCCGACCUGAGAGGGUGAUCGGCCACACUGGGACUGAGACACGGCCCAGACUCCUACGGGAGGCAGCAGUAGGGAAUCUUCCGCAAUGGACGAAAGUCUGACGGAGCAACGCCGCGUGAACGAUGAAGGUCUUCGGAUCGUAAAGUUCUGUUGUUAGGGAAGAACAAGUACCGUGCGAAUAGAGCGGUACCUUGACGGUACCUAACGAGGAAGCCCCGGCUAACUACGUGCCAGCAGCCGCGGUAAUACGUAGGGGGCAAGCGUUGUCCGGAAUUAUUGGGCGUAAAGCGCGCGCAGGCGGUUCCUUAAGUCUGAUGUGAAAGCCCACGGCUCACCCGUGGAGGGUCAUUGGAAACUGGGGAACUUGAGGACAGAAGAGGAGAGUGCAUUCCACGUGUAGCGGUGAAAUGCGUAGAUAUGUGGAGGAACACCAGUGGCCGAAGCCGACUCUCUGGUCUGUUUCUGACGCUGAGUGCGAAAGCGUGGGUAGCAACAGGAUAGAUACCCUGUAGUCCACGCCGUAAACGAUGAGUGCUAGUGUUAGGGGCCUCCCACCCUUAUGCUGAGUACGCAUUAGCACUCCGCCUGGGGAGUACGCCGCAGCUGAACUCAAGAUGACGGGCCGCACAGCGUGGACAUGUGGUUAUCGAGCACAGAAACCUACAGCUUGACCCUGACUCCUAGAUGGAUUCCUUCCGGACAAGGAAUGUCCU
rnacentral:rRNA from 1 species